UCCCUGGUGGCUCAGUGGUAAAGAAUCCACCUGUCAAUGUGGGAGACACAGGUUUGAUUCCUGAUCUGGGAA
rnacentral:tRNA from 1 species